rnacentral:rRNA from 1 species
GACGAACGCUGGCGGCAUGCCUAACACAUGCAAGUCGAACGAUCAAGAGGCAGGAAGCUAGAGGCAAGAAGCAAGAUAAAAGCUUUUUAAAAGCUUCGUAGGAUUACGAAAAUCCUGCAUCCUGCUUCCAGCUUCUUGCUUCUUGAUAGUGGCGGACGGGUGAGUAACGCGUGGGUAACCUGCCCAUAAGACUGGGAUAACUUCGGGAAACCGGAGCUAAUACCGGAUAACUUCUUAGAUUCGCAUGGAUUUAAGAAGAAAGAUGGCCUCUCGAAGAAGCUAUCGCUUAUGGAUGGACCCGCGUCUGAUUAGCUAGUUGGUGAGGUAACGGCUCACCAAGGCGACGAUCAGUAGCCGGCCUGAGAGGGUGAACGGCCACACUGGGACUGAGACACGGCCCAGACUCCUACGGGAGGCAGCAGUGGGGGAUAUUGCGCAAUGGGGGCAACCCUGACGCAGCAAUGCCGCGUGAAGGAAGAAGGUCUUCGGAUUGUAAACUUCUGUUAAGAGGGAUGAAGAAAUGACAGUACCUCAAGAGGAAGCCCCGGCUAACUACGUGCCAGCAGCCGCGGUAAUACGUAGGGGGCGAGCGUUGUCCGGAAUCACUGGGCGUAAAGGGCGUGUAGGUGGUUAAAUAAGUCAGGUGUUAAAAUGCGGGGCUCAACCCCGUAAUGCACUUGAAACUGUAUAACUUGAGGACAGGAGAGGAAAGUGGAAUUCCUAGUGUAGCGGUGAAAUGCGUAGAUAUUAGGAGGAACACCGGUGGCGAAGGCGACUUUCUGGCCUGGCCCUGACACUGAGGCGCGAAAGCGUGGGGAGCAAACAGGAUUAGAUACCCUGGUAGUCCACGCUGUAAACGAUGGGUACUAGGUGUAGGUGGUUUAGAUACCAUCUGUGCCGCAGUUAACGCAUUAAGUGCCCCGCCUGGGGAGUACGAUGGCAACAUUGAAACUCAAAGGAAUUGACGGGGGCCCGCACAAGCAGCGGAGCAUGUGGUUUAAUUCGAAGCAACGCGAAGAACCUUACCAGGGCUUGACAUCCUCUGAAGGCACUAGAGAUAGUGCUGUCCCUUCGGGGCAGAGAGACAGGUGGUGCAUGGUUGUCGUCAGCUCGUGUCGUGAGAUGUUGGGUUAAGUCCCGCAACGAGCGCAACCCUUAUACUUAGUUGCUAACGGGUAAAGCUGAGCACUCUAAGUAGACUGCCGGCAAAAAGUCGGAGGAAGGUGGGGAUGACGUCAAAUCAUCAUGCCCCUUAUGUCCUGGGCUACACACGUGCUACAAUGGCCUGAACAGAGGGCAGCGAAGGAGUGAUCCGGAGCAAAUCCCUAAAAACAGGUCUCAGUUCGGAUUGUAGGCUGCAACUCGCCUACAUGAAGUCGGAGUUGCUAGUAAUCGCGAAUCAGCACGUCGCGGUGAAUGCGUUCCCGGGCCUUGUACACACCGCCCGUCACACCACGAAAGUCUGCAACACCCGAAGCCGGUGGGCUAACCGCAAGGAGGCAGCCGUCGAAGGUGGGGCAGAUGAUUGGGGUG